CUUGUACUGAAAAAAUAUCGACGGGCGUGCAGUACUUUGCGCAUUUGUUUAGCGUGAGUGCCUACUUUGAUCGAGCUAAAUAUUCGCAGACACAACAUUAUUCGUGGGUACGUUUUUUAUGCAGUGAAUCGAGAGAUCGGAGGAAUGGUUUUCGAGGAGCGUAAGAACGUUUCGUAAGGAUCUCCGGACUGUACAUAAAUUUUGGGAAAGAGGAAGCGAUUUGCGAUUGACAAAUCGUGUGGGGAAGGGACGCCGAUGACGCGUAAGUGAAUCGUAAGAGCAGUGGACAACCGGAGCAAUA